UUGAAGUUUUUAAAAGUGCCACUCAGAACAUUCUCAGAUAAAAGGAUUCAGUGUCCGGGUCGCUGUCGGCGGGAUUAACCAGCCCCCCAGGGGGCCACCCGCCGAAGCAGCGCAAAGGUACGUUCACGUGGGUUUGGCGAGCGCGAACUCGUUAAUGAUCCCUCCGCUGGUUCACCAACGGAGA
rnacentral:misc_RNA from 1 species